rnacentral:tRNA from 1 species
GGGGAUUUAGCUCAGCGGCAUAAGCACCUGUCUUGCAAGCAGGCGGUCGUGAUCCCCA